UCUAAGACUUUGUCCACAGUGAUAGAACAGUGUACAACAAAAGACAACACUAGUUGGUUACAGUGUCUUUGACUUAAGUGAUAUAUAUUUACAAAGGUGAAAUGACCAUUCUCGAGGCCCAUUCAUUCGCAAACUCAAAAUCUCCUGUUACGUUACAUAAGACUACUUGAGCAAGAUUGAAAUAUAACAAGUAACAAUAUAGUGAACUCAUACUUUUUCUUAUUUUUUUUGCAAAAGACUUGUUUUCAAGGUCUAGCCAUGUCGCCGACUGUCUUGGACAACACUCCUGAGUUCUCGUAACGUGUAACUCAAUGAGAACGUCUGACGAUCUCCCCUCUCCGCACCUUGAACAUCUGGUGGUCCUGACCGUGGGUAGCAGAGUCUUUUGCCUCGAAAGAUAAAUCACAUCAAAGACAACAGGCUGGAACACUGCAGGAGUAAUGACAGUACCUUGUGCUGGCGGAGAAGGAAGGGCAGCAGCAUCAGCAUGCCUCCAUCAUGGACGAUCCACCACACGUCGAUGUGACCCUCAGUGAAGCGCUCACCAUUGGAUGGGAAGGCCGAGAUGUUCUUAGGGACGAGCAGAGCCAGUGACCCACCGAUGAAGUUCCUCCAGGUCUGGUGCUCGUCUCCUUGCUUCCAGUUGCGUGGCCAGGAGACCAGCACAGCGUUAUGUUUCAGGCCUCCCAGUCCACUGGCCUGUACUAGAUGAGAUGUAGCAUCACGCAGGUUUGAAGACACGGUCACUUGACAGAAGCCCUUCACCUUCUCAGUUUCCAUCAGUUUAUGCAAUGCCUAGAAAGGUAUGACAGAGAGAACACUCCAGUAAACCUACCUUUACACCAUGUCUAUGGUCACAUAUGGUGCAUGCAUGUGGUGUAUAUGCUAGACAGACACGUACUGAGAAGCCUGUGAAUAAAUAUUUGUACGGCAUGAGUUUAGAUAGAUUUCUGGUCAGUCGGCUGCAGAGGAAAUGAGUGAGUUUUACUGCUAAAUAUUUACAGGACUUUUCAUAACGAUGCAACACACUGAAACAAUAAAUAGAAUUUUGACAGCCAUGUAGCCAUGUAGUGAAAUGCAAUUUUUUAAAAAAUAUUAUCACAUUUAUAGUAUUUUGCUGGUAAAAUAAUGUACUCUGCAGGCACAGUAUUAACAUGAUGUGGGGAUUUCUCAUUUUGAGAAUUUGAACUGCUGACGAUUGUCACUGAUAGUUAAAGACUCCCUACCUGCUCUGCACGCUGGGCCUGCUCAUAGUUCUCUAGGUAGGUGCCCUCCAGAGCCGUCCCAACAAUGGUUAGACCUUUUCCU